rnacentral:rRNA from 1 species
AUGGAGGACGGGAUUGGGUGGCUGGCGCAGACCAUCCUGGAAACCCUGUCCAUCCCGCAGCUGCAGGCGUGGAUUCGGCGGCAGGGGCUUGGCCAUGACAUCCAGCUGCUCGAGUCAGAGGUCGAGAUGGCCCACAUAGCGUACGAUGCUGUGGGGGAGAGGGCGACCGGGAACAAGCCGCUCGGCCGAUCCCUCGCCCGCCUCAAGGACCUGCUCUACGACGCCGAUGACUUGGUCGACGACCUCCAAUACUACCUUCUGCUUGAGACCUCGCCUGCCACUGCCACAGGUUCAUUAGUAAUCGGGUGCAAUUACACGCCCAUUCAAUCUACAAGCGCCGGCUCCCCUUCUACAGAUUCGUCAGAUAAUGCUGACAUGUUUGAGGCAGUGCAAGUCCAUGAGGAAUUGAGGGGAGAUAUUGGUAUACAAAGUAGGCAGGGUAGCAACAAUCCCUCUGUGGUAUGGGAACGCUUUCUGGUCUCGGAAGCAGAUGGAAACAAUAGGCCUCUGAAAGCCAAAUCUGUUCAUUGUGGACCCAAACAUGGGACAUCAGGUUUGAAACACCAUACCCAUAGUGUAGGUUGUACGAGUCAAAGAGAAGUAGCUGACCAGCAGCUAAACCCUUCAAGCAGUGCUGAUGUUAUAGAAAAUGGUGAAGAAUUUGCAAUUGGUGAUUCAGGCAGCACAAAAAGGAGGAGAACAGAUGAUGAGUCAACACACAGGACCAAAGCUAAAACACACCUUUGGAACAAGCUUGAAUCUUCGCAUAGGAUACAAGAAAUAACACGCUUGUUACAAGUCAUAUCUGAGGUUUUGAGUAAUGUUCCCAAGUUUCAUGGAACAGACUUUGUUGCAAGCUCAGAUGACUAUCGAAGUACAACACCAGAUCAACACCUAAGAACAUCAAGUGUUGUUCCAAGGAAAGUUUUUGGAAGAGUUAAAGAGAAGGACUACAUCAUAAAGUCCUUGACAGAAGACAAACCCGAUGGUUAUUUUCAUGUCCUUCCUAUUGUAGGCUCUGCAGGAGUUGGGAAGACUACUCUUGCUCAAUUUAUAUACAAUGAUGCAACCGUGGCAGAGCACUUUGACAAAAGGAUAUGGGUUUCGGUGUCUAAAAACUUUGAUGAAGUGAGACUCUCAAGGCAGAUCUUAGAUUGUGUCUCUCAGGAAACACAUGAAGGACUGUGCAGCUUUUCCAAACUUCAGGAGGUAUUAAAGAUGCAUAUCACAUCAAAGAGGAUUCUGCUUAUUUUUGAUGAUGUCUGGGAUGACUUCAACCUCUGCAGAUGGAACCAACUAUUAGCUUCUUUGCAGUCUAACACUAAGGGUACUGUGAUUCUUUUGACAACUCGAAAAUUGUCUGUUGCACAAACUGUUGGUACUGUUGAACCAUUCAAGUUGUGGGAUUUAGAAUAUGAGGAUUUUUGGUUAUUAUUUAAGUCAUGCGCAUUUGGUGACGAGGACUAUGAAGGGAAUAAAAGUCUAAGCAUCAUUGGAUUUCAAAUAGCAGAGAAGUUAAAGGGAAACCCAUUAGCAGCAGCAACAGUAGGGGGGCUAUUAAGAAGGAGCCUUACCAUUGAUCAUUGGAGUAAUAUUCUGAAGAACGAAGAUUGGAAAUCUCUGCAACUCAAUGGGGGCAUAAUGUCUGCUCUGAAGUUUACGUAUGAUCAGCUCCCCUACCAUGUACAACAAUGCUUCUCACUUUGUUCUAUAUUCCCUGAGAAAUAUCAGUUCCUUGGUGAGGAGUUGGUCCAAAUUUGGAUUUCACAGGGAUUUGUGAAGUGUGACCAUUCAAGUAAGAGACUUGAGGAGAAAGGAAUGGACUAUCUAGCUGAUCUUGUGAACUUAGGCUUCUUUCAGCAAGUUGAAAGAGAAGAGACAUAUCCAGGCAGUCAAACUUGCUACGUUAUUUGUGGCCUUAUGCAUGAUUUUGCAAGGGUGGUCUCAAGAGCUGAGUGUGCAACAAUGGAUAGCCUGCAGUGCUGUGAGAUGCUGCCAACCAUACGUCAUUUGUCAAUAGUAAGUGAUUUUGGAUAUAGCACAGAUCAGCAUGGAAACAUACGUCGCAAUAAGAAGUUUGAGAAAAAAAUUCUCACCGUGUGUACAUCACUGUGGAAAUUGAGGACAUUAGUAUUAAUUGGGCAGUAUGACUUGUUCUUCUUCAAAUCCUUUCAAGAUAUACUCCAAGAGGCACGUCAUUUGCGGCUCUUGCAAAUUUCUGUAGCAUCUGCUGGUUUGAAUCCUUUGCUGUGCAGUUUGGUAUAUCCCACCCAUCUUCGCUACCUAAGAGUCGACGCUCCUAACGGGCUUGGGUCUUUGCCUGGAAUUUUAAGCAAGUUUCGGCAUCUUCAAGUAUUACGUGUUGGCUCAUACACUAAUCCUACAAUACCUGUCGGUAUUGACCAUAUUGUUAGCCUGCGGCAUCUUGUUGCAGAAGAGGGAACAUACUCUUCCAUUGCUAACAUUGGUAACCUGACAUCUCUUCAGGAGCUACCCAAUUUUGUGAUUCAAAAUUCCAGUGGCUUUGACAUAACACAACUUCAGUCCAUGAAAGAGCUUGUACAACUUGGGGUAUAUCAACUUGAAAAUGUUAAAACUUGGGAGGAGGCUUAUGGAGCUGGACUAAAAGAGAAACAGCACUUGGAAGAGAUGCACUUAUCCUGGAAAGUUCCCUCGUCAGAUGAUGAAUAUGGUAGGGACAUGAGCUCUGAUAAGGAUUGGGUGUCAGCAGAUGUUCUCGAGGGCCUUGAACCACACAAUAACCUAAAGCAUCUGCGGAUAUCUGGGUACAAUGGGCAUCUCUCCCCGACUUGGCUUGCAAACAGUAGCUCGGUUACCUGUUUGCAGACUCUUCAUAUAGAGGGUUGUGGAAACUUGGACAUACUUCCAUCUUUUGAACAACUCCCUUCUCUUAGAAAUUUGAAGUUGAUGGAAAUGCCAAGUAUGACAGAAGUAUCAAUUCCUUCAUUGGAAGAACUGGUAUUAAUUCAAAUGCCAAAGUUGGAGCGGAUUUCCUCCAUUUCCACCAGGGACUUGAACUCAAAUUUAAGGGUUCUGAAGAUUCAGAGGUGUCCUGCAAUAAAGAUCUUUCCUCUAUUUGAGAGCUCCCAGGAAUUUAAAAUCGAGCAGAUGUCAUGGUUGCCCAGUCUGAGGGAACUCAUUAUCCAUGGAUGUCCUAAUUUACUUGUACCACAUCCCCUUCCCCCAUCACCUACCAUUUCCAAACUAUCCAUCGUCGACGUUCCAACACUCCCAAGGAUAGAGGGAUCAUCUGGUGACACAUUAACAAUUGGAUCUGGAAGUGAGGGCAAUGAUAACUUUGAUCCUUCUUCGGUUAUGAUGACUAUACUGGAUUGCAAAAUUUUGGCAUUCCACAACCUGUGGGGCCUCAGAUACUUGCGUAUAGAUGGUUGCCAAAAUCUGGUGUCUAUUUCAUUCCCUGGAUUAGGAGAACUUAUUUCUUUAAAGAGUUUGGAAAUAUGUAGCUGUCGAAAACUUUUCUCGUCAAAUUUUAUGCCAAAGCAUACCCGUGAAGAUGUGACAGCUGCAAAUUGUAAUUUCCUCCCAUCUCUUGUCACUCUCAGAAUUAAGUGCUGUGGAAUAGCAGGAAAGUGGCUAUCUUUGAUGCUGGGAUAUAUGCAGGCCCUGGCGGAAUUAUAUUUAGAAGACUGCCUGGAGAUAACACAGAUGGUGAUAGAAGAGGAAGAAAACAUUCAACCUUAUGGUGUCUCAGUUCCAGUGGAUUCAUCAUCAGGAGGUCCAGAAGACACAUUGCUGACAAGCUCAGUUCAGGAUGGAAUCUUCUGCCUUCCUCUAAAUCUUAUGUCCUCUCUCAAGAAGAUAUCGAUCCGGGAAUGCCCUCAUCUAGUAUUUCGCGGAAACCACAAAGACUUGUCUAGAUUUACCUGCCUUGAGAAGCUUACAGUUUGGGGAUGUCCAAGGCUGCUCUCAUCUUUGGUUGACAGAGAUGGAAAUGAUGAUGAGAUGAAUGGAAGAUGGCUCCUGCCGAAAUCACUGGAAGAACUCGAGAUCCGUGGUGAUUCACCAGACAUGCUGCAGCCCUGUUUUCCGGGGAAUCUAACCUGCCUCAGAAAACUACAAGUGUGGUUCAGCCCAAGUCUGAGAUAUCUACAGCUGCGUAACUGCACAACACUGGAAGAUUUGAUAAUUGGAAACUGUAGAUCACUUGCUGCAGUAGAGGGCUUGCAAAUCCUUUGCAGCCUCAGGUAUUCCAAAUUAUUCAAAUCCCCUGGCGUGCUUCCAUGUUUGGAGAAUCUGUCAAGGCUGGGCUAUGCUUUAUUCCCUGGACUAGAACGGCUUGUGGUCGAUGACCCCUCUGUCUUUACCAUGUCAGUCUGCAAGCAACUCACCUCCCUCCAACACCUAGAGCUUGAAAAUUGGGAAUUUGUAACGAGACUAACAGAGGAGCAAGAGAGAGGGCUUCAGCUCCUGAAAUCCUUGCAAGAACUUGAAUUCCGGGAUUGCAGUUAUGAUCUCAAAUAUCUCCCCGCAGCGUUGCACAGCCUUCCUUCACUCAAGAGAUUGAAGAUCAAUGGUUGUUUAGGAAUCACAAGGCUGCCCGAACAGGGCCUUCCACUCUCACUGCAAGAACUGGAUAUCAGUAAUUGCAGCAAGGUGUUUAAUGAUUACUGCAAGUCUCUAGAAACAGGGAAGCUAAAGGUCAAAAUUGUUGGAAACACACAAACUGCUUAA